UAACGUGUGGGCAACCUGUCUCAUACAGAGGGAAAUNAUGUGAAAACGUGACUAAUACCGCAUGUCAUUUGUUGAAGGCAUCUUCGACAAAGAAAAGGAGCAAUCCGGUAUGAGAUGGGCCCGCAUCUGAUUAGCUAGUUGGUGAGAUAACAGCCCACCAAGGCAACGAUCAGUAGCCGACCUGGGAGGGUGAUCGGCCACAUUGGGACUGAGACACGGCCCAAACUCCUACGGGAGGCAGCAGUGGGGAAUAUUGCACAAUGGGGGAAACCCUGAUGCAGCAACGCCGCGUGAAGGAAGACGGUUUUCGGAUUGUAAACUUCUAUCAAUAGGGANGAAGAAAGUGACGGUACCUAAAUAAGAAGCCCCGGCUAACUACGUGCCAGCAGCCGCGGUAAUACGUAGGGGGCAAGCGUUAUCCGGAAUUACUGGGUGUAAAGGGUGAGUAGGCGGCAUGACAAGUAAGAUGUGAAAGCCCGUGGCUUAACCACGGGAUUGCAUUUUAAACUGUUGAGCUAGAGUACAGGAGAGGAAAGCGGAAUUCCCAGUGUAGCGGUGAAAUGCGUAGAUAUUGGGAAGAACACCAGUGGCGAAGGCGGCUUUCUGGACUGAAACUGACGCUGAGGCACGAAAGCGUGGGGAGCAAACAGGAUUAGAUACCCUGGUAGUCCACGCCGUAAACGAUGAGUGCUAGGUG
rnacentral:rRNA from 1 species